rnacentral:misc_RNA from 1 species
UCCCCCGUGAGGGGGCAGUCUCGCCUGACACUUGUAACAGGCAACGAGGGUUGCGUUCGUUACCCCACUGAAGGGAACGGUUCAAACCACGAACUGACGACAGCCAUGCAUCACCUGUCCUACACCCUCGAAGGCUUCCUAUCUUUCGAUAGGCGUGCAGUAGGAUUUCUAGCCUCGGUAAGGUUCUUCGUUUAGCGACGAAUUAAGCCACACGCUCCACCGCUUGUGCAAGCCCCCGUCUAUUCCUUUGAGUUUUAACCUUGCGGUCGUACUACCCAGGCGGAUCGCUUAACGCGUUAGCUUCGUCUCCCAGAGGGUCGAUACUCCGGAAAACCAGCGAUCAUCGUUUAGGGCGUGGACUA